GAUCCUGGCUUAGGAUGAACGCUGGGCGGCGUGCCUAACACAUGCAAGUCGAACGGGGUUAAGUGAAAUUUCGGAUGGAGCUUAACUUAGUGGCGGACGGGUGAGUAACGCGUGGAUAACCUGCCUCACGACUGGGGGGAUAGCAGCUGGAAACGGCUGGUAAUACCGCAUAAGACCACAGCACCGCAUGGUGCAGGGGUAAAAGAUUUAUCGGUGUGAGAUGGAUCCGCGUCUGAUUAGCCAGUUGGCGGGGUAACGGCCCACCAAAGCGACGAUCAGUAGCCGGCCUGAGAGGGUGAACGGCCACAUUGGGACUGAGACACGGCCCAAACUCCUACGGGAGGCAGCAGUGGGGAAUAUUGCACAAUGGGCGCAAGCCUGAUGCAGCAACGCCGCGUGAGUGAAGAAGUAUUUCGGUAUGUAAAGCUCUAUCGGCAGGGAAGAAAGGCCCUUAACAGGGAGAUGACGGUACCUGACUAAGAAGCCCCGGCUAACUACGUGCCAGCAGCUGC
rnacentral:rRNA from 1 species